GGCAACUGCUCCUAGUAGUGGAGCCAGUUAUAGUUUUAUUGUUUACAUUAUUCUUGCACUCAUAAACGUUGUACUAUCGUUAGAACAUGUCUUAAGGCAUAGUUUCAUUAUUUUGUUAUUAUUCUGUGACUUAAGCAGAAAGUAUAUAUGAAUUUAAUAAGAUAUAUUGAGGUAAAUUGUUUGUGUGCGCAGUGUUGGAAGUGCAGGAGAGGAGCCAGCUCCAACACUCACAUCACCACCACCUUCAUUAUCAACACUCACCACCUCCACCACUAAACCUCAUCUUCAGCUGUUAAAGAGUACUACCACUGUUAAGUGAGCUGAGGAUACUUACCAACAUGGGCACCUACGCUCACUCCUUCCGUG